GUAAUAAAGCAUUUUCGUUUUUCUUCAAAGAGAGUUCUUUGCAAGAGUUGUUUCUUUUGAAUAUUGUGUGUGAUUCACAUUGUUCAUUAGAAUUCUUGGAUUAAACUAUUUGUGUGAUUCAAGUAGUUUGUUCGAUCACUUGAUAGAGAGAGUCUAUCAUCAACAGAUUGAGUGAGUCAAUCAUCCUAUCAUCGCGCCAUCUCUACCAUCUAUUCCACCUUCCGCCAACAAAGCUUGUUGUCUUUGACAACCUUGUGAAUUAUAAGACUUGGUGUGAUUCCAAUCUUAUAUCAUUUGGCAUCAGAGCACAAGUUCCUAUCAAGGUGCUUUUGUUCUUAUCUUUUUCUUUUUGUUAUUUCAGUUUUUGUUUCAUCAUAAAAUUUAAAACCCAUAAAAAACUUGUUUCAGUUUUGUUUUCAUUGCUUUGUUAUUUGAUUUCUUUUAUAAACUCAAAAACCAAAGAAAAAUUAUUUAUUUGUUUUAUUUAAUCUCGUUUCAUAAAAAGAAAAUCCACAAAAAUAUUUGUUGUUAUUGAUUUCUCUUUAUUUUUUGUUUUUGUAUUAUUUCCAUUUUUACAACAAAAAAAAACACAGAAAAAAAAAAUAUUCCUUGCUUUUUAAAUAUUCUGUAGUUUAAUUUAAUUUUCGAAAAUCAGAAAAAAAUAAAAAUAAGAAAUUUUCUUUUGUUAUUUAAGUUUUUGAAUUUGUUGAAGAAAAAAAAAAAAAAACAAAUUUGGCCAUUUUCUUAUUUUUGAAAAAAAAAAAAAAAACUCUCUCUCUUUCCUUUUCUUGUCUAGAACGAAACUGAUCCACCUUUUUCCUCUUUGGUUUUACGAGAUAAAUCCUAAGGAGCAGCCACCAUGGAUUCUAGUGAAGAAGAUGAGCCCAUAGGGUUCAAUGGAGAUGAAUCUGAUGGUUCAAUCCAAGGGUGGUCCGAUGAAGAAGCUUAUUAUGAGUCUCCACCAUGGCCAGGAGAUGCUGACUUAAGCUCUUACUAUGGAGAAAAAUCAGAUGAAGACGAUCUUGAACCAGAGCCACCAGAUAUCUAUGAGCCACACAUAACAACAACGAUUUGGAGCCAGCCAAGAGAACGUUUUUAUGAAGAGGAGUAUGGCGAAGGGUCUGCAGAGGAUUGUUAUGGAGAUGAAGCCGAUGAAAAGCCAUGUGAUGACUCAUAUGUGGAUUAUAAGCAACCUCUUCGACUAGAGAAGCCCCACUACAUCAUGGCACCAAGCCCAACACAAUCAUACACCACAGCAGCCGUGACAAAGACACCGACUAGAAAGAGAAGUAGUUACAACACCAAAUCUCUUAUCUUUUCAGGUUGUAGCAAGGACCCUGAGGUUUAUCUCAAUUGGGAAAGCAACAUGAAGCAGUGGCUGCACGCAAACAAUAUCCCUAAGGAGAGGAAGCUGUCAAAUGCAGUAUCUGCUCUAGUUGGAGAUACUUACGAUUGGUGGCAAAAGGAGAAUGCUCAUGGCCUCUACAACAAGCCAGUGCGUGAUUGGGGAGACCUUAAAGCCAGGAUGUACCGAGAGUUUGUGAAGAAGCACCAAACUCACAGCAGCAUCCCACCAAGGCCCAUACAAUACACCACACCAAGGAGAGUGAUGACAACACCACGGUUGCACACUGAUCAGCCUGAGCAACACAAUACACAGAGGUGCCCACAAGUUGCAACUCACAUGCAGAGUUCAACACCAAAGCGUGAGCUGCAAGCAAAAUUUCAAAGUAAGACCUCUAACUCUUUGAAAUUAAAUGAACCAGUGUGUUAUAGAUGCCAUAAGAGAGGUCACUUUGCUGCUGUUUGCCCUGAAAGACAAGUAAUUAAAAUUGCUAGUCCUGAACAGAAUUUGAAUUCAAAUGAAUUUAGCACUUGUUCAGUUCAGCCUAGUUAUGAAAUUUUCAAUUCAGGAUUGAUGCACUUGUCUUUGCCAAAGGUUAAUAAUGCAGGUCUAAUUCAAGACAUGGAGCUUACAGAGAGAAAAGUAGACCACGAGCCAAAUACAUAUGAUCCAGAGCCAGAGAGUCGAAAUGAGCCACCACCAUUUGUUGGUUUAGCUGCGGAUAAAGGAAAACCAGAGGACACAAUUUCAUCAACUGUACAGGAGCAACACGAGGUCAAAUUAUAUCAGACUGCCCCUGAGAAAGAUGAAGUUGUCACUAGCUUCACUCCGAUCCAAGAUGAGCCACCAGAUCCUACACUGAAUCCAAAUGUCAUGACAACAAAAGGAACAGAACUAAUCGACAGUUCUGAUCAGGUAAGUAACACAUUUUUCUCAUUAAUUUCUGAACAUUCUAAAUAUGUGAUAAUGAAUCUACUAUAUCCAGAGACUUGUGAGAAAGUUGCAGCACCCAAUCUUUGUUUUAAACAGCAAAUCUAUGACCAACUUGUUGCUUCACAUAAAGUUAAUAAAAUGGUGCAACCUGAAUCACGUUUCUAUGUUUCUAGAUAUACAAUGACUGCUAUAACACACUUGUUUUUUGUCAAAGGUGUCAAAGAUCUUGCAGGUACAGGAGAAACAUUACAAAAGAGCAAACCGCCAAAAUUUAAUGGAGAAACACGAUGUGAAAAUAAAGUUUUCAUAAAGACGACUACCUUGCUACCAAAGGAAAUCAACAACAAACCUUUGAGAGGAGUCAUUUCCUAUUUACUGAUCAAAGAAGAACCACCAGACAAUCCAAAGCAAUCCCACCUGAACCGAGAUGGAGAAAUGACCCAAGGUAAAUUUCUAGACUCACAUCUUUACCAUGAUACUAACUUGCUCUAUCUUUGUGCAGAUGAACUAGUUUCGAGAACGAAACUUUUUCAAGAGGGAGGGUAUGAUGCGGACAUCAACCCAUCAAGACGACUCAUGGUGAUCCCAACACUUGGAAGAACUAGGUGCAACGGACAUGAGAGUCUAGCCAAGGGUAAAGGAGAGACGAUCUCCCUUGUUGAACAAGUUAAUGGUGAAGGGGAGACGACUGUCAUUAAUUUGUUCUCUCUAGACUCCUAUCCCAUCACCAGGAAGCCAUUAGAUCACUCAAUCUUAACCGGACCAAACCAAAGAAGAGGCAACCAAUCUAUUGAAGAUUCUGCUCAGCCCAAAAAGAGCCACGAGCCUUGUUCAGGCCAAAUGAAGUCCAAGAACAAGUGUUACAGCCCAACUACCACUAGGAUUACCUUCCUAGCUCAGCCAGAGCACGCCUCGAAGUGGAAUCAGUCCAAUUGGAGUUCAGAUGAAGGAGUUAUUAAGUUUAUAAAUCAGGUGAUACUCAACUUACCCGAUUUGGACAUAUCCGCCUUAAUUGGAGAAUUACGACUAAACCAAGAGGAAUUAAGCUCUAAACCGACUUGUUCUGGAAUCUUGACUCAUCAAAAAAUCACAGAGAAUUGGAAUCAGACUGAUAUCGAUUUUGGUUUAGGAGAUAUUCAAUCUUUAAACCAAUGGAUCCUCCACUUGCCUUAUUUGGAACCUUCCGGGUUUUGGAGACUUCAAACAUAUCAGUGGCGCCCAGGAGACUCUGAGUUACUUGUAGAAGCUUUCUACAACAUCCUAAGGUGCACCAACAUGCAUUGGAUCAGGCGGAUCCAAUUGAGUUCUCAAUUAAGCCAACCGGAGCCGUUUAAGGAAAGUAUGAAGACUGACCGGUUCAAUCUCUUACAAACCCGAUUUUGGCGACCAGGAGAGUUUCUUAUACAUGUAGAGGAGUCUACAAACGUCUUACCAUGCUCCAGAAACCACAGGAUCAGGCGGAUCCUCAUAUUUGUACACUUUCCUUUUCCGGAAGCAUUCACACUUGGAGGAAUAUCUCACCAACGGCUCUUUUCUCUUGAAUGCUACGACUUGGACGUGUUUUAUGAAGAAACUAAUGUGCCAGAGAAGCUCACCUAUCCCCUCAAACCGUCCAGAUACAAAGGCUACAUCACUUCCUCUACUUUGGCCGAUUCUCGCCAUAAUAGCUCCAACGGCUAUAUUCUCUUAUUGCUAAGAUUUCUUUUCUUCUUUUUAGACUUUAGAAAGUUGUAAGAGCUCUAUAUAAAGCUCAUUAUAUCAUUUGUACAAAUCACCAUUCAAUCUUAAAGUGAUAAAGCAUUUUCGUUUUUCUUCAAAGAGAGUUCUUUGCAAGAGUUGUUUCUUUUGAAUAUUGUGUGUGAUUCACAUUGUUCAUUAGAAUUCUUGGAUUAAGCUAUUUGUGUGAUUCAAGUAGUUUGUUCGAUCACUUGAUAGAGAGAGUCUAUCAACAGAUUGAGUGAGUCAAUCAUCCUAUCAUCGCGCCAUCUCUACCAUCUAUUCCACCUUCCGCCAAC
rnacentral:lncRNA from 1 species